ensembl:snoRNA Y111B2A.36 ncRNA
CAGUGUAUCGCCAGGUCCAUCAAUCCUCCGAAGAACCGUUGUUCCAGGCAUAGGCGCUGGUGGUGUUGGACGCCUACCGCUUGUCAGAAUGCCUGUUCGCCCUCCAUUUCCUGGCUCGCAAGCUCCUGCUCCACCGCUGAGAAGUGGUGUUGCUCCAACAGCUCCUGCAGCAGCUCCACGCCAGUUCGUCGUUCCGUCGUCGAGAGUUCGAGUUAUCACGACGAGAACUCCGGUCGCCACC